rnacentral:rRNA from 1 species
UAGGGAAUCUUCCACAAUGGACGCAAGUCUGAUGGAGCAACGCCGCGUGAGUGAAGAAGGCUUUCGGGUCGUAAAACUCUGUUAUUGAAGAAGAACGUGUGUGACAGUAACUGGUCAUGCAGUGACGGUAUUCAAUCAGAAAGUCACGGCUAACUACGUGCCAGCAGCCGCGGUAAUACGUAGGUGGCAAGCGUUGUCCGGAUUUAUUGGGCGUAAAGCGAGUGCAGGCGGUCUUUUAAGUCUGAUGUGAAAGCCUUCGGCUUAACCGAAGAAGGGCAUCGGAAACGUGGGCAG